AUGAAGUCGGAAUUGCUAGUAAUCGCGGAUCAGCAUGCCGCGGUGAAUACGUUCCCGGGCCUUGUACACACCGCCCGCCACACCAUGGGAGCCGGUAAUACCCGAAGUCAGUAGUCCAACCUCGUGAGGACGCUGCCGAAGGUAGGAUUGGCGACUGGGGUGAAGUCGUAACAAGGUAAC
rnacentral:rRNA from 1 species